GAUCAUGGCUCAGGAUGAACGCUGGCGGCGUGCUUAACACAUGCAAGUCGAACGGGAAUUACUUUAUUGAAACUUCGGUCGAUAUGAUUUAAUUCUAGUGGCGGACGGGUGAGUAACGCGUGGGUAACCUGCCUUAUACAGGGGGAUAACAGUCAGAAAUGACUGCUAAUACCGCAUAAGCGCACAGGACCGCAUGGUCCGGUGUGAAAAACUCCGGUGGUAUAAGAUGGACCCGCGUUGGAUUAGCUUGG
rnacentral:rRNA from 1 species